ncrna:unclassified sequences Glutamine-II riboswitch (downstream peptide RNA)
AUACGUUCGCCUCAACUCAUGGGGUGCAUCAAAUGGAAGUAGGGAACGGGAUUUCCAG